ensembl:snoRNA SNORD24 Small nucleolar RNA SNORD24
UGCCACAAUGAUGACAUUUAUUUGCUACUCUUGACUGUAAGAAUGACGAUAAUCUUAACCACCAUUAUUCUAACUGAGGCA